rnacentral:rRNA from 1 species
AACGAACGCUGGCGGCAUGCCUAACACAUGCAAGUCGAACGAUACCUUCGGGUCUAGUGGCGCACGGGUGCGUAACGCGUGGGAACCUGCCCUUAGGUUCGGAAUAACUCCCCGAAAGGGGUGCUAAUACCGGAUAAUGUCUUCGGACCAAAGAUUUAUCGACUUUGGAUGGGCCCGCGUUGGUAUAGCUAGUUGGUAGGGUAAAAGCCUACCAAGGCGACGAUCCAUAGCUGGUCUGAGAGGAUGAUCAGCCACACUGGGACUGAGACACGGCACAGACUCCUACGGGAGGCAGCAGUGGGGAAUAUUGGACAAUGGGCGAAAGCCUGAUCCAGCAAUGCCGCGUGAGUGAUGAAGGCCUUAGGGUUGUAAAGCUCUUUUACCCGGGAUGAUAAUGACAGUACCGGGAGAAUAAGCUCCGGCUAACUCCGUG